AAAUUUUUCCCUUGAACCUCGGCAGACCAUUAUGUAUGGCAAUAUUGUUCAUAAUAGUAGGAUCCACAUGGGUUUGGGCUAGUAAUUGAGCAACUUCCUGGUCACCUUCAUAGCUGCUCAAGAUCUCCUCCAUCCACUUAGGUUGCACUUGACUCAAAGUAUUGCAUUCAGCUUCAGUGUAAGCUUUGGACAGUGCAUCAGCAACAGUAUUCUUUAC
rnacentral:lncRNA from 1 species